rnacentral:rRNA from 1 species
UACGGAGGGUGCGAGCGUUAAUCGGAAUAACUGGGCGUAAAGGGCACGCAGGCGGGCUUUUAAGUGAGGAGUGAAAUCCCCGGGCUUAACCUGGGAAUAGCAUUUCAGACUGGGAGUCUAGAGUACUUUAGGGAGGGGUAGAAUUCCACGUGUAGCGGUGAAAUGCGUAGAGAUGGGGAGGAAUACCGAAGGCGAAGGCAGACCCUUGGGAAUGUACUGACGCUCAUGUGCGAAAGCGUGGGGAGCACCCAGG